UACGGAGGGUGCAAGCAUUGAUCGGAAUUACUGGGCGUAAAGCGCGUGUAGGCGGUUGUUCAAGUCAGGUGUGAAAGCCUUGAGCUCAACUCAAGAAAUGCACUUGAUACUGGAUGACUAGAGGACCGGAGAGGAUAGUGGAAUUCCCAGUGUAGUGGUGAAAUACGUAGAGAUUGGGAAGAACACCAGUGGCGAAGGCGGCUAUCUGGACGGUUUCUGACGCUAAGACGCGAAAGCGUGGGGAGCAAACAGG
rnacentral:rRNA from 1 species